AACCAUAGAAACCUGCGGAGUACCUGCGGAAGGAUCAUUAAAAGAUUCUAAAAAAAAAUGGUUCCUAGCCCGUAAAAAAGGUUAAGAGCUAUUUUAUCUUAAAUAUUUAACCUGAAAAUUUUUGUCUGAAUAUAAUCAAUUUUCGAAUGAAAAUUAAAACUUUCAACAAUGGAUCU
rnacentral:misc_RNA from 1 species